AAAAGGUAAAAAGAGAAUCCAUUUUUACUAGGAAGCUUCAGUUUCACAAAAGUUAAGGCCUUAAGGGGAGGGACGAUAAAACAAAGCGCUUCUGAUCCCAAAGUCAGUACAUUACCUACACUGUUUGACUAACCAUCAUUGAAAAAGGGACAGAGUGCUUCUGUUCUAUAAUCUUCAUGUGAAAUCAAGGACACUUUAAAGUUUAUACCAACUUUUUCAUCAUGUUUGUGAAAGGAAUCCAGUUAGUAACACUCAAUUACAAAGUUAACAACCAAAUCAACUUAAAAGUGCUUAAAUAAAAUAGUUUCUAUUGAAUUUCUCUAUUGUAUACCAAACUUUGACAAGCUAAUCUUGUUAUUGUAUCCUUAUUUUCUUCAAUCAAUCAAAAUGUAACUACAUCAACCAAGUGGUUUUAAGGAGUUUUACCAAGUGGUUUUUAAGGAGUUUUCUCUUAUUUGCCAAUGGCCUCCUCAAUUCGAAUUUUGAGAAAGCAGAAAACUCAAAAAUAAAUUUACAUUUGGCUGCCAAUCACUAGGGGUGGCAAAAUGAAUAAACAAAUCGAAUUCAAAUCUAAUUGUAAAUGAAUUGGGUCAAAAUUCUAUUGAUUCGGAUUCGAUUUGUUUAUUAAACGAAUAUUCAGUUUGAUUCAUUUAAUAGAAUUAAUAAACAAAUCGAAUUAAAUCCAAUCCAGAUUUGUUUACUAUUCGUUUAUCCUAUUAUGAAUCCAUAAUGAAUCAAAUCGGAUCAAGAUUUAUUUACAAUUCGUUUAGAAAAAUAUAAUUAAUAGACAAAAUUAAGCAAAAUAAAAUAUAAAAAGCCACCAAUUUAAUAUCUUACAAAAUAAAAAUAAUUCAAACCAUAUUCUAAACUUAAAUAUACAAUAAUCCAAACACCAUAUUACAAAUUCUUAACAAUAUAAAUAACAGUAAUUCAAAUUCAAAUUAUAAACUAAGAUGAUUUGUUUAGUUCUCUUCGUUUUAUCUUUGUCAUCUUGAAAACAAUAAUCCUACACCAAAAAUAAAUAAAAUGAUAUUAACAUGCUACAAUACUGGUAAUAGUCACUGUAGUAUUUCAGAAUAUCAAAUAUAUAACAAAUUUGUAGUAUUGUUAAGGAAAUAAUAAUUAAAUCUAUAAAGCCAAGAAAAAUAAACAAGAUAAAACUUUACCUAUCAUACUCCCACAUUGUCAUUAGGAUAAGAUGAGCAAUAGAAACAAUAGUUAAUGUUAUUAAAUAAUCAGCAAACAUUUCACUUUAGUUAUAAUCCAUUUUCUCAAUCAUGAGAUGGAAAUUUAAUACAACCAAUCAUAAGCUUGAAUUUAUUCUAAGCUGAAAAAACGAAUCACUACCAAAAGGCUGCAUCUUGAUGGCAGUGCAUUUGAGGAAAAGAAUAAAAGAAAAAAGAAUCAUAUCAAUUCAAAUUUCAAAAUAUGCAGAGAUAAAUCGGGAGAAAUCUAAAGGCAAA
rnacentral:lncRNA from 1 species